rnacentral:lncRNA from 1 species
CAUAGAUUUAAGGUUUUUCCUCUCAAUAUGGCCUAUUAAAAGCCUUCUCAGCUUCAUAGCUUUUAAAGCAGAAAGGGCAGGAAUGGCCUAAGAUGGAGCUGAAUCCCUGUAAUCAUUUCUUUUUCUGCCCUCACCCCUGAACUUUGAAGGCUAGUACAUAUCUUGUAACGGUCUGCUGUUUAAGCUGCUAGAAAGCUAGUCUCUGGAAGAGCCUUUUAACCUAAUUAGUAAUUUAUAUUAUUCUGUAUUGAGCACACCCUUACUCAUUAUUUGGCUUGUAAACAUUCACCUAAAUUAUGGCUACAAUAAUUUUUAAAUAGUCUGGAAAAAAGCUUCACAUUUUAAUCACUUUUGGCUCUUAAA